ACCCGGUCCGUUUGUCAAUACUCGUCCUUGGUGCACGGACUGGACACCACGGUCGCGAGCGCAGCACGCACAGAGCCAUGAUCAGCCUCGUGGCCUCGCGCAGGAAGCGCGCGCAGCAACAGCGAGAGCAGGAGGAGGAGGAGGAGAGCAGCGAGACUGAGACCAGCGCCAGCGAGACUGAGACCGAGAGCGAGUCGGAAGACGAGAAGGGCGAGAAGAAGUACCACAACAUAUGCAAAGAUAUGCCGAAGCCUGGCAACAAACCCAAUAAGAAGUAAAGCAUGGAGCAUCCAUUGCGACUGGAGAACGAUAGAAUGAGUGUCAUGGUAUAAAUAUAUCGUAAGACAACACC